rnacentral:rRNA from 1 species
ACCGGCAGCUCAAGUGGUGGCCAUUUUUAUUGGGCCUAAAGCGUUCGUAGCCGGUUUGAUAAGUCUCUGGUGAAAUCCCGCAGCUUAACUGUGGGACUUGCUGGAGAUACUAUUAGACUUGAGAUCGGGAGAGGUUAGAGGUACUCCCAGGAUAGGGCUGCAACCCUAUACUCCUGGGAAGUACACCCGUGGCAAAGGCCCCUAAGUGGAACGCACCUGACGUUGAGUAUCGCAAGCCCGGGGCGCGCACCA